CUACUUAUGAAGAGUCCCAAACUAGGACGAAACAGCUGUCUAGUAC
rfam:Trichobilharzia regenti genome assembly, scaffold: TRE_scaffold0017449